rnacentral:rRNA from 1 species
CCUACGGGUGGCAGCAGUGGGGGAUAUUGCACAAUGGGGGAAACCCUGAUGCAGCGACGCCGCGUGUGGGAAGACGGUCCUCUGGAUUGUAAACCACUGUCCCCAGGGACGUAGAUGACGGUACCUGGGGAUGAAGCUCCGGCUAACUCCGUGCCAGCAGCCGCGGUAUUACGUAGGGAGCGAGCGUUGUCCGGAAUUACUGGGUGUAAAGGGACGGUGGGCGGGACUGCAAGUUGGGUGGCAAAUCUACCGGCUCAACCGGUAGCCGCACUCAAAACUGCAAUUCUUGAGUGAAGUAGAGGCAGGCGGAAUUCCUGGUGUAGCGGUAAAAUGCGUAGAUAUUAGGAGGAACACCAGUGGCGAAGGCGGCCUGCUGGGCUUUUACUGACGCUGAGGCUCGAAAGUGUGGGGAGCAAACAGGAUUAGAUACCCUUGUAGUC